rnacentral:rRNA from 1 species
UACGUAGGGUGCAAGCGUUGUCCGGAAUUAUUGGGCGUAAAGAGCUCGUAGGCGGUCUGUCGCGUCUGCUGUGAAAACUCAGGGCUUAACCCUGAGCUUGCAGUGGGUACGGGCAGACUAGAGUGCGGUAGGGGAGACUGGAAUUUACGGUGUAGCAGUGAAAUGCGUAGAGAUCGUAAGGAAGGCCAGUGGCGAAGGCGAGUUCCUGGACAGUUACUGACGCUGAGGCACGAAGGCCAGGGGAGCAAACGGG